GUAAUGAUAGGCUGACGCUCCGUCCAAACAUCGACACUCGGAACCGUGCGAUUCUCUCAAAUCGCGCAGGUGCCCCCACUAAGUUCCACCUCUCCGAACCAACGCCGCCAGAGGGAUAUUUAAGAGCAUCGUAAGCGACGAUCCGGCAGUCCUGAACGACCGUUCUGGGCUCCAUAACCAGCCAAGCGAAGUGAGCGAGGCCGGCCAACCUGAAUCGCGACGUGCACCGUUCGUGAGGUGAUUCGUAAACUCAGGCAGGCCAACUCGAGACGAGACGCACGGUGUACCGAAGUGAGACGCCCAUCCGGAGGAAGACUUCGCUGGAACGGGAUAAAAUAUCAAAUUAUUAUUUUGCGUUAUAUUGUUACAAUUUAGAGUUAAUAAAUUUGCUUUGCUUUCAACCUGUG
rnacentral:lncRNA from 1 species